CCCAGUUUAGAGACCGUUUUCACGUAUCUUACGCGAUUGAUCGCCACCCCGCAGAGGGAAAAGAGGAGAGGGAGCGAGGAGAUCCCCCAUCUUGAUCUUCUUGAGCGUGGUGUUCUUCGUCGAACUCCGCCUCUCCUUCGCACCAAGCCACCCCUACCGCCGCCUCAAGCUUCGCUCGCCGCGCCCGGCCACGACCGUCGCAGCAUCCCCUUCGACGCCGUCAUCGCUGACGUCAAGCGCCGCCGCGAGGACCGCCAGUGGGAGCGCGCCCAUUUCUUCGUUGUCAAGAUCGAGUUUUGGUUCCCUUUUCCUGAGCGUCAUCCCUGUUAACUAGCUUUGACCUGUUCCCUGCGAUGUGAUAUCCUUUCUGGAUGUAGUUCAUGGAAUAUUGACUGGGAACCGAAGCCUUUUGUUUGGAAACUCAUUGUUUGGUGUUGCGAAAAGACAAACAAUGAGGGCUUUUUUUUUUGUUUAAGCUUAGGUGGAGUCUCAGAUAUUGGGAUUCCUUGGGCACUGGUGGUUCAAGAAGACAUGUGAGCAAUCCAGCGCCUUGAAGGUGGUGGGAUUACAGCUUCAGAAUGAUAAUUCAACUGAUGUUAAAGUGGGUUGGUGGAAAGAAGAUCACUUCAAUGCUUCUGAGUUUUCUCCAUUCAGCAGACGCCAGCAAUCCAAAGCUGAUCCACUGGUUGUCCAAGGGAGAAAUUAGGGAAGAGAUAAAGAAAAAGAUGGAAAGCUUAAUUCUCAAGAAUAUUUUAAUGGCUUAUUGGACUUGAUUAAGAGAUAUGAUGAUGUUUAUAAGUUUACACGAACUGAUACUUCAGCAGAGGCACCAGCUACAAAAUUAUUCUCACAACUCGACCACAGCAACAAUGGUUACUUCUCAGAAGAUGAGCUGAUACCUGUAAUUGGUGAUCUACACCUGUCAGAGCAUUACUUUGCAAAACAACAAGCUGAUUGUGGUAUCUCAGAGGUCUUUGUUGACUAGAUUCUUAGAAAUUUUUUUAUCUACUUCAUGUCUGCAAAUAAGAAUGCUCAUAAUGUGGAUUUCUUGUUCAAGAGAACGAUUGAUAGUUGACUCUGAUAUGCCCCUUAUAUCAUAGACAUUUCCUUUUCAUGAACAGAAAAGUUAUCCUUAUUCAGACUAAAAGAAGAGGACUAAAAUUCUCUUUUCUAGUAUGCUGUUUCGACUACUGGAAGCAGGUACAGGAUUCUAGUAAAACAAAUGCCAAAAAAUGGCAAGUGUAAUUAUUAUUCAUGAUCCAACAAUUGUUACAGUAAUUGUUCAUGUAUAGAACUCAGAUGUUUUUGUUUCCUUUUAAUUAUACUGUUGCAGUUGGUAGUCUGUAAAAAGUUAAGAUUCAUCUUCCUUUCUUUCUGCAUAUGGUUCACUGGAGCGGUGUAGUUUUAGGCCUGUAAUGCAAAAGGCUCUCAUUUUUCAUAAUUGUCAUGGACUUUUUUUAUCAUGUCUCCUCCCUGAACUCUUCCUACAUGGAGGAAAAUUUUGAUGAAUGCACAGUUACAUAAAUUUAGGGCAGUAAGGUGAUUUCUUAUUUUAAGUUAUCUCCCUUUCUUGGCUAAAUUUGCUUCAGCUCAGAAUUUGGCACUAUCUUCAUCAGGUUGAUGUUUGAUUGAUAGCCAGUCAUAUAAAUUUAUCAGAUAUUUACAUGCAUGAUAAGGACCAUCAUUUAAAACAUCAUGCGAAAUAAUGUUCUAGGAGAAUGAAGAGGUGGUGAGCUUUUUCUUUUUGUGUCUUGUGUGGGUAGGGUUGUGUUGGGGAGGGGACCUCAAUGCUGAGUAUCUGUAUCUCUGCAAGCAUGAGGUGCAUAGUUUGUUUCUCUUACCAUUGUUUGUUUAGAAACCUCACAGAUUUGUGCAAUCGACUUCCUCAGUUAUCCUCCAAACUAUGUCGUGGAGGGGCACAAAUAAAUAUUCCUAGUGGUGCACUUUACUGUCUCCUGUAAAGUUAUUUGCUGAAGUGUAAUCUCUUUGUGGUGGAGCUAUUCAUCCCCUGCUAUUGAUCAUUUCAGCAAGGUUCUUUUGAUGUUUUCCCGUUUUCCUCCCUACCCCGCAGUGUGUGUGUCUUGUUGGAGUUGCUUUAUGGUGAGACAAAGAUUAUAGCAACUCUAAUUGCAGAAUCUUGGCAUGCUUGUAACAUACAAGAUCUGGUUUUUUGAGCUUUAAUGCAUGCCAUGAAACCAUGUGGUUACUGCAAUUUUCCAGAUAUAUAUAGGUAGAAUGGUGACUUGAAAAGAUGGGGAAGCUAAAAUAAGAUUUCACUUGGGCAAUGGGAAGGUAGAAUGAGAAUUCUAGAAACUUGCUGGCUGUUUAUUUUGGGCAAUUUUAUCCCAUGAUUUUAUGACAAAAUCUUUUUCAAUCAUAUCAUUAGCAUAUUCAACAGUGCCAUGACAUUUCACGUGAGUUAUCUUCUGCAAAUCAUGCAUCCACUUAUAACUAUUUCCAGCUUGAUUGCUAGAGCUCAUGUCAUUCAUGCUGUGCUGAAAUAUACAAUAGUAGUUCUUGGCAGUCUGCAGGCCAAUACAGAAACAGAUGGUCGCUUAAAUUACAAGGAGGUGAUCGAAAACCCUUUUGUAUUUGUACACUGCUAUUCCCAACGAGGAUGAUGAUAAUGAAUUCCAUAAUGAGUUUGGCUAGUUAUCCAGGUUAUGCUUCCUCAAAGUCCUGAAAGCAAUAGCAGUCGAUAUCGAUUUGCUUGAUUUCUUGGAUUUGCAGUUCACUGGAGACUCUUUCUUCGAUUUAAUGUACUUCCGGUAUCUAAUUGCAUAUGUACAAUAGAACGACAGAUAAAUAAUGCUAUAUUCAGGCGAAAUUGAUGAAGCUUCAUCCGACUCGUACUCAUACUUCUUAUGGAUUUGUACUGUGUAGAAACAUGAAAACUGUGAGCAACUCUCAUCGACUACACUGUGAUCAUAAAGCGGAAGAAGAUGAGGUACUGAAAGCAUCAUUAGCGUCGCCGUCUCAUUGGUGCAUCGAGAUCCGUGCCGAGAGUAGAUGAUGCGUGGAUGUCAGAACCUUUUUGCAUGGGUUCGUGACGUCCCAUCCCAAACGAACACCAAAGCCAUGGGAAUGAUUUCACUGUUCGUCGUGAUGAUGGUUGCAUACGGAAACAGGACACACACACGUCAUGUUGAUAGACCCAACGCAGCCAUAGCUUUAGCCUUUGCCUGUGCCAUCUUUCUCCUAUCCUCUUUCUUGUCCUCCACUGAGAGCCAAAGAGCACAGAAGGAUGUAUGGGAUUGAGAUAAGUUUUAGGCGAAAGGAUUACAGAAGAAGAAGAUGCAGCGGAUGGAUGAGUGAGGAGCGUGAAGGCAGCUGCAUUCAUUUUCCUUUACAACAGCCGAAGUGUGUACUACCGCUAUAUCAGAUGGAACAGCAGCAGUACUUCGCCUCUUCACAUGCCGCAAACAUUUCUAGGGAUUAGUAAAAGCUCGAAGACAAAGAAUGCAAUGGUAGCUUUUGCUUCAUGCAGUCUCAGCUAGCUUUUGUGUGUGCU